rnacentral:lncRNA from 1 species
GUUGCUCCCUCUCCCCCAACAUCCUCCUGGGACAUACAGUGAUGGCCCCCACACCUGGAAGGACUCAAGCUCUGAAUCCAGCACCUUUAGGAAGCAAGUGAUGGCAUCCCAGAGGCCCUAUGCUUGAGACAGACUGACGAAAACAGGUGGAUCUAGGUAAAAUCAGUCUCUGCUACCCUCCUCAUCUAAACCCUCAGUGCAGGGCCACCAUGGAAGCCAUGUGUUAACACUGAGUGAUCCUCAUCAGCCAAGUCCCUAAUGCAUGGAAAAGAACCUCCUGACCCCAGUCCCCAAAGACUGGACUUUUCCUUUGCAAGAAAUAAGGAUGUAUUGUAUUAAGCCACAGUGUUCUUCUAUUACAGAAGAUUAAGCAGUGCUUAAAUUAACAUAUACCUCCCCUCAAAAAAACAUGGUCAGGAGUGAGAUAACUCACAUAAAGUAAUUAGCACCUAGUGUCACAGAAUGCGGAUUUCUGUCAAUGUGAGGCCAUGGGACCCUGGAACAAUGCUGCCACUUCCUAUCAAUCUAUUUCUUAAAUUGCAGGGUAAAGUUCACCAUAAAUAACAAAGUCAUGGAGUCAAGCUGUCACAAUUGGCCACCGUUCCUAA